rnacentral:rRNA from 1 species
ACUCCUACGGGAGGCAGCAGUGGGGAAUCUUGCGCAAUGGACGAAAGUCUGACGCAGCGACSCCGCGUGGGUGAUGAAGGCCUUCGGGUUGUAAAGCCCUGUGGGGAGGGACGAAUAAGUCGUGGCUAAUAUCCACGAUGAUGACGGUACCUCCUUAGCAAGCACCGGCUAACUCUGUGCCAGCAGCCGCGGUAAGACAGAGGGUGCAAACGUUGUUCGGAAUUACUGGGCGUAAAGCGCGUGUAGGCGGCAAGGCAAGUCGGGUGUGAAAGCCCUGGGCUCAACCCAGGAAGUGCAUUCGAUACUGCCAAGCUGGAGUCCCGGAGAGGAUGGUGGAACUCUCGGUGUAGAGGUGAAAUUCGUAGAUAUCGAGAAGAACACCGGUGGCGAAGGCGGCCAUCUGGACGGUGACUGACGCUGAGACGCGAAAGCGUGGGGAGCAAACAGGAUUAGAUACCCUGGUAGUCCACGCCGUAAACGAUGGGUGCUAGGUGUCACGGGUAUUGACCCCUGUGGUGCCGAAGCCAACGCAUUAAGCACCCCGCCUGGGAAGUACGGCCGCAAGGCUAAAACUCAAAUGAAUUGACGG